rnacentral:rRNA from 1 species
ACUCCUACGGGAGGCAGCAGUGGGGAAUAUUGCACAAUGGGCGCAAGCCUGAUGCAGCAACGCCGCGUGAGGGAUGAAGGCCUUCGGGUUGUAAACCUCUUUUAGCAGGGAAGAAGCGAAAGUGACGGUACCUGCAGAAAAAGCACCGGCUAACUACGUGCCAGCAGCCGCGGUAAUAC